rnacentral:misc_RNA from 1 species
GCAUUAUUCUAAAAAUAAUAAAAUCUUAAGAUACAAUUAAAGAAGAGAUUAGAAGGAACUUGGAAAAAGAAAAAUUCAGAUCUGGUUCUUGGACAUCCAAAGCUCCUUUGAAUUUUUCCCCUCUGGCUACGUAUGGAAAAAGUCGGCCAAAGAUCCCUCAAAUGAAGAAAGGGAAGUUUAUAUGUGUAUUUGAAAAGACUUUGAAGCCCUGAUAAAAUAUUCCCCACAAUUUUCCUGGUCAGCUUAAAGAAAUCUGGUGUCACUUCGUAUGGGACACACCCACAGGUGUGUCUUUUCCUUCAUCACACACCCAAUCCUUUGUAGCUUGCAG